rnacentral:lncRNA from 1 species
AUACUGUAUUUUUCCUCUUUAGCGGUGGCUGAGCGUAGAGGCUUCUUCCUCGCUCCCUCCUCCUCCUGCUCUGAAACACAAACGGAAACUGUAACUCAUCUACUUCCUACUAAGAGAGUCACAGAAAAUACAGAGAGCGAGAGAAACAGCGACAAGGCCCCAAAGCAAGCAACUGCCAUCAAUGCAAGCGGCUGCUCCUUCCCUGCAAGGGCAAUGUCUGCUGUGUGGCUACACGUUGGACAAUGUGGCAAUCAGAUUGGCGAGGCGUGGUGGCAGAUCCUAACCAGGGAGAAUGUGCCGCAUGCAGAGGCUGAUUGAUAUCCGUUCUGCUCCCCCGAUGGAAAGCUAAGUGCUAUCUGCGUGGACAGCGAACCCAAAGUGGUGAGGAAGCUGCAGAAACAAGUCAAGAGCGGGUAGGAGAACAGGGGCUUGUCUCAU